GACCUCGAAUCAGGUAGGACUACCCGCUGAACUUAAGCAUA
rnacentral:rRNA from 1 species